CAGCUGCUGGAAGGUGUAGGUACCCUCAAUGGCUCAGUAGCCAGUGUAGAUCCUGUCUUUCGUAAUCAGCAGCUACAUCUGGCUACUGGGUCUCUGAUGGCAUCUUCUAGCUUCUGCUUCAGUG
rnacentral:precursor_RNA from 1 species